AUACGUAGGGGGCAAGCGUUGUCCGGAAUCAUUGGGCGUAAAGCGCGUGUAGGCGGCCAGGUAAGUCCGUUCUGAAAGCCCGGGGCUCAACCCCGGGAGGCGGAUGGAUACUGCUUGGCUCGAGUCCGGAAGAGGCGAGUGGAAUUCCCGGUGUAGCGGUGAAAUGCGCAGAUAUCGGGAGGAACACCAAUGGCGAAGGCAGCUCGCUGGGACGGUACUGACGCUGAGACGCGAAAGCGUGGGGAGCAAACAGGA
rnacentral:rRNA from 1 species